rnacentral:rRNA from 1 species
UACGUAGGGUCCGAGCGUUGUCCGGAAUUACUGGGCGUAAAGAGCUCGUAGGUGGUUUGUCGCGUUGUUCGUGAAAACUCACAGCUCAACUGUGGGCGUGCGGGCGAUACGGGCAGACUGGAGUACUGCAGGGGAGACUGGAAUUCCUGGUGUAGCGGUGGAAUGCGCAGAUAUCAGGAGGAACACCGGUGGCGAGGGCGGGUCUCUGGGCAGUAACUGACGCUGAGGAGCGAAAGCGUGGGGAGCAAACAGG